rnacentral:rRNA from 2 species
UACGGAGGGUGCGAGCGUUGUCCGGAAUCACUGGGCGUAAAGGGCGCGUAGGCGGCUCGAUAAGGGGGCGGUGAAAGCCCGGGGCUCAACCCCGGGUCGGCCGUGCCGACUGUCGGGCUGGAGCACGGUAGAGGCAGAUGGAAUUCCGGGUGUAGCGGUGGAAUGCGUAGAGAUCCGGAAGAACACCGGUGGCGAAGGCGGUCUGCUGGGCCGUGGCUGACGCUGAGGCGCGACAGCGUGGGGAGCAAACAGG